rnacentral:rRNA from 1 species
UACAGCGGUCUCCCGCUUUUUUCUUCCUCCCUUUUCUUCCCUUUUUCUUAUUCCUCACUUUAAUUCAUAUUUGGAAUCCCGGAGCUCAACUUCGGAAUUGCCUCCGAUACUGCCGUGCUUGAGGACUGGAGAGGAGAUUGGAAUUCACAGUGGAGCAGUGAAAUACGUAGAUAUUGUGAGGAACACUAGUGGCGAAGGCGAAUCUCUGGACAGUUCCUGACGCUGAGGCACGAAGGCCAGGGGAGCAAACGGG